ensembl:lncRNA MIR4500HG MIR4500 host gene
GCACUUGUUUAUUGUCGCGCCUCUGGUGCGAGCCAAGCUGCAGCAGACAUGAUGGGCCCGGGGCGAAGCGGGCGCUCGGUGGCCGAUAGAUGGCAGCCGAGGGCGAAGGCGUCCCUGGGCUAGGGCGGCGCAACCGGGGCCCCCUUGGAUGUCACAUUCGUAGGAAGAGAGAGAAGUCUUGGACCAUGUGUGUAAUUCGAGCGUGGGACUGUGCAAUUCUCGGAUUGGGAAAGGGAGGAGUGGAAAUAACCCCGGCAGUGCCAGGCUUGCUGGUGGUCAGGAACAGAUGAUUCCAGCCCUGUGCUGAUCGCCUGCCUUCCUCCUGCCAUUCAGAAUGCUGCUGUCUCGUGUACUUACUGUUAAGGAUCCUGGAAAAGGGAGUGGUUCCUCCUAGCUGCAAACAAGGGCGCUACUUUUCUUUUCUCUUUAAUAGAAUUACGUUUUAUAGGUGUGUCUAGGCAACACAAGGGAAUGUGAAAGACUUUCAGAGGGAAUGUUUGUGAAUACAUCUGGUGUGUACUAAAAAGCUGGAAAACCCCUAAGUAAAUGCAAUAUCGAUAGAAAGCGAGUUUCUUGAAGAGUCAUCUGCUAAACUCCACUAGAGUCAUCUCUACAGGUGUGGUUAAGAGAAAAAAAAAUUGCCAUUAAGGAAUCAGCAAAUAGGAUGUCUGAAGUGAGGAUAUAGCACCUAUCUCUGAGAUUAAAGUCAUCUGAUCAAAAAUGAUGCCUCUGAGACUAUAACAAAGGAAUGAAUAAUGAAAUAUAAGAAUGGGGAUUCUGCACUAACUCUAUGGGGAAGAAAACAAUGCAGAGACGAAGCUUCACCGUGUUAGCCAGGAUGGUCUCGAUCUCCUGACCUCAUGAUCUGCCUGCCUCGGCCUCCCAAAGUGCUGGGAUUACAGGUGUGAGCCACUGAGCCUGGCCCCAGUUUUAAUUGUUAAUACAGUAAUAUCAAUAGAUACAACCUGCAUAAACUAAAGCUCUUUGGGGCCUUCCAUGACAUUAAGAACGUAAGCGGUCUCAAGAUAGAGAAGUUUCAGGACUACCACUGUACAUUUUUGUAACAUUUAUUUUAUUUCUUGUAUUGCUAAUUUAUCUUUAUAUAGUUGCUAUUUUAUAAGAUGUAAACUCCUUGAUAAUAAAAAUGUUAUUUAUUUGCCAUGUCAUUUAAAUGCCAUGAUUUGCAUAAUUGGCAUGUAACAAAUAUUUGGAGAUUGUUGAUUGGCAGAGAUUAAUUAAUUUACCCUCAUCAUUACAUAGGUAGUUAAACUCAGAGCAGAAAUUAAAACUGAGAUUUCUAGUAGUAUUGUGAGUCACAGCUAGAAAAUAAAAUCUGUCUCUAAAGUGGGAGGAUUUCAUAUUUUAGCAUGGAAAAUUAUUUCCCCUUGUUCAAAUAUUUCAACUUCCUCCUGGUAAGUGUCCCAUUCAUUUUGCAGCCCAGGCUUAGGGAAUAAAAUUGGUAUGAAUUUGUUUACUGUAGAAGUGAAAUUUACUUUCAAAAUAUAAGUUUUUAAAUAUCCACAAUUAGGUAUUGGCUGAAAAAAAUGUAUGUAUAAAGAUGAACUUUAUUUAAGGAAGUGUAUUUAGACUUCUCAAUAGCUGGAAAGCCAUCUCAGUCUUUCUCUUAAUAUCUUGUCUUCUUAUAUUUCUUUGUGUGCCUAUGUUUGCAUCUCAUUUCUCUACAUGGCUGGUGUUAUUAGUCCAUUCUCACACUGCUAUAAAGACAUACUUGAGACUGGGUAAUUUAUGGAGAAAAGAGGUUUAAUUGAGUUACGGUGUCACAGAGCAUAUAGGUAACAUGGAUGGGGAGGCCUCAGGAAACUUAUACUCAUGACAGAAAGCAGAGGAAGCAGGCACAAUCUUCACAUGGUGGAGCAAGAGAGAGAGAGCAUGAAGAGGGAAGUGCUACACAUUUUUAACCAACCAGAUCUCCUGAGAACUUGUUCACUAUCACAAGAACAGCAAGGGGUAAAUCGUCCCCGUGAUCCAAUCAUCUCUCAUCAGGUCCCUCCCGCAGCAUUGGAAGUUACAAUUUCACAUGAGAUUUGGGUGGGGACACAGAGUCAAACCAUAUCAGUUGCCUGAUAUUAUUAAUUACAUGUGGCUCGUCAAAGCAUCCCCCCCAAUGCAAAUCGAAUCCCAAAUACAGACAGUGGGUACACAGCUUUACAGGUCAAUCAUGCAUAGCUAAGCUACACGGCAUUGCCUUGUCUCCAUUCCAAAGUCCCCAGAGAAAAAUCCAAUGGAUCCCGUGUAAGUGAGUUAUCUAUUCUCUCUAUACCGUUCUCUGAGCCUAGGGUGGCAGCAUGUUUAGGUUGAGAGGGGGAGUGUUGUUUUACAUAAAGUGUUAAGCUAAGUGUAUGUUCUUUAUGAAGGAAUACAGAGAAGUAGAUAUAUGGGAAAGAUCUGUACCUUUAGGACUCCAAAUUAUCAAAUCCUUCAAAAGAUGUAUAGGGAAUCCUUACUGAUCUAUGAAACACUAAUCCCCAAAUUAUAUAAACUUUUGCUUAGUAGUUUUAAUACUACUUGCCAUAAGGCCUCUGGAAGAUUUGAUUAAAAAUAAAAACGGUAUCGUAACUACAGCAGUGAGUCAUAUAUAAUGCCUAAAUGGCAGUUUUAGUUGGUUGUCCUAAAAAAUAACAUUACUAUUCUACAAAACUAAGUUUUCUGGUUUCAGCAUGACAUAAAUAGGCCUAUGUUGGAAAAUAAUUUAAAUGUAACUGUACACAUACAUAUUGAAACUUUUCAGGAUACAUUUUUACUAUGAAUUUGCUGUAUCUGAAAUGUAAAGAAAUAUACAAUGCAGAUUUUUAUAUAAAGCAUAAUGUAGGGGAAAUUAUGAAAUUUCAAAAUAAGCUUUCAGUAGCAUUGUAAUAUGCUUUUGUAGAAACCAAGUUAUCCAGAAGGCACAAGGAGUUGCAGUGUGUCCUAAGUCAGCAAUGCACAACGCCUAAUUUAUUUUCCAUUAAGUUUUGUGUCUAGAAGUUACAUAAUAUCUAAGAAGGAGCUUAGAGGAAAGCUUUAGAACAAAUGAAACUAAGAGCUAUAGGUUGUCAUUACAAUAUUCUUUAAGAGCUUAUCUAUUGUCCUGCAAUAAAUAUAUUGCUAAAAAAUUUGUUCAAUAAGCAAACCUUACAAUAAAGUGACACUGAUGUACAUAAUCAUAUACUUUUAAUACUGUUUUCAAAAAAUAUUCAUGAAAUAAAAUAUCGAAGUCCUUUCUACAUUCCAGUAAUAACUGGACUACAGUUGUUGACUACAGAACAUAUAUUGCACGUUGGUUCUGUUCACUAUUAAGAAUCCAGCUUAAUACGAAAAAUGAAUAUAGAAUCUACAUACAAUAUAGUAAUCAUUACAAUUUGUGUAUGUAGCUCUCCUUGCAUCUUCUUGUCGAAGUAAGUGGUAAUGAUUCUGUAUGAUAUAUUUUUAUAUUAUAGACUGCUAGUGGGAAGACUUAGGCAUGUCAACUUUUCCUUUGUGGGAGAGGUUAGGAGGCUGAGUGGAUGAUCAAAAGUGCUGCAACACAGAGAUCAGCUGAGUCUGAAAGGGGAAGACAAUCCAUUGUGCUGAUUAUAAGUAUCCUUCCGUUCUAGAUAGGUAUAAGUUUUAAUUUUACACUGGGUUGGAGAACUCUAAGGAAUUUAGACAUAUAAGUUAUUUUUCUUAUUCAACUUUCAUUAAAGAAAACAGU